UUGGAAAUCUCCUCCCUCUCCCUAGAGAGAGAGAGAGCUGUUUUCUUUUCUUUUUCUUUUCCCAUUAAACCUCUGCUCCUAAACUCCUCAUAUGUGUCUGUGUCCUAAAUUUUCUUGGUGCAAGAGGAUGAACCCCAGGUUCAGGGAAUGCAUGUGGAGGUUUGGUACAUGGCGAUAUUGCUUGUUGCUGAGGCUCAGUGUAAGAAUGAUCCUGUCACCAAGGUUUGACCUUGGAAGUCCUCAUGGAGAAAAUUGCAUCUGAGCUGGACCAUGAAAAAUGAGUAGGAUUUCAACAGAUAACAAUGGAAGAGAGAAAGCAAAUCAACCACCUUUCUUCGCUCAUCUGACAAAGUGCCUGAUUCCAGCCAGAGACUAUGUAAGCCCUUGGAGUGAUAUCAGUCUCUAUUGACUGAAUGCUAACCCAUGGAAUUAGAUAUCCAUGUGAGUCUAUUCUACACAUCCAUAAGAAAACCUUAUACCGAGGCUUACUGGUUUUAAAAGAGGAGAUGUCAAACUAAAGAAUGGAGAAGAAUUUUCAAGGAGUGGGAAAAUGCCACUACCCUGCUCAGAACCUUCACUGCAACCCAGACUGUGCCUGUAUCUUAGGAGUGCAGAUGAUUGAGAUGGUCCAAGGGUAUCCGGAAGAGAGAGGAGAGGACCCAACAGCAUGGAUGGUGCAUGCUGAGCACUUCUCAAAGGAAAACCCAUGGCAGAGGAUUCGGUCUGAACCUCUUACUGUAAUCAUACAGCAUAGCUGGCAGGGGCUUGCCUUAUUUACAUGCCACAUGGAGCUGCAGUGGCACCAUGUUAUUGUGUGUUUUGGGAGAGGUGGAUGUGAGUGUGGGUGUGGGUGCACAUGCAUGGAUGUAUCGGACUGUGAGAAGGUAUGAGCUGAAGCAUUUUGCCAUCUGGGCAGCGUGGGUGGUGUGCUUUAAGUCUGGUGCUUAUGUUUCUGGAAACAGACAUACAACCAUCAGGUUGGCUAAACUUUCCUCAUGCUUUGUAUUAGAAAGGGAGAGAAUAGAUUACAGGAGACAAUGACAAUGAUAAGAUGAUUUCUAUGGGUUACUGCAAUUCAACCCCUUGUAAUAACACAUUGAUUUCAACGUUUCCCCUACACAAAGAAUUCUCAUAUGUUGCUGAUGGUAAAUGAUGCCCCAAUAUUCAGUCAAUCUAGGCAAAAAUAAAGUCCACUAAAUGAAAGAAAAUCACUCAAGCUGAAUUGGCCUCAUAUAGAAAUGGCUCAAGGGUUAAGAGAGGGAGCACAUGCUAAGAUAAAGAUUACAGGGGAAAUUGUGUUUAUUUAAUCAAGGCCCAGAUGGGCUGAAGGCAGAAACACAGCGUCCUGAUUUGCAUAACUUUUUCUCUCUGAGCCAUAAGCAAGGGCUUUUCCAAUAUCCAAGGAUAACCUCUGAAUUCAAACAAAUCAUUCUUCUGACCUAUGGCCAAUCUUUCAGCCUCACACAGAUGUCUCCCUUUAUGUAUAAGGAAGGAAUAAUCAUAUCACUCAAACUCAAAUGUUCACUUGGGAUUAACUAAUAUUUAAAGUGCUCUUCUUUUAAGAGCCACGCCAUGCAAAAGGGAAGUGGCUUAUACAUAUAAUACAGCAGUUUAUGGAAAAAGACUCCAUGGUAUGGUGGAAAAAACACUUUUCUAACAGAGCAACCUGGAUCCCAGUCCUGGUCUGCCACGGUUUAGCAACAUGACCAUGGGUAACUCACAAAAACACUGAGUCUCAGUUUCCUCAUCUAUGAAGCAAAACAUCCUUAUCUGAGGAGUUUUUCUUUGUCAAAUUACUAUAUCACCAUGACCAAUGCAUACAUAUGUAUUACAUAUGAUAGUGAUACGAUUAUUCCUUUCAUAUAGAUAGACAGAAGAUAUAGAUAGAAAAUAGAUAAUAGAAGAUAUUGAUGGACGAAAGAAGAUAUAGACAUGAAUAGAUGAUAGAGGAUAUAGACACGUAUAGUUGUGAUAAUGUAGCAUAGUUUUUUCCCAAAAUGUGAUAAAAUAAAGAAAUGUUUGACCUAAAGACUUCCCAUUUUAUUGAAAAGUAUGAAAUAUAUUGAAAAAUACAAUAAAACUAAACUGAGCCAAAGUUGUUGCAGCAACUUUACAAUUGCCUAAGUUAAAGUCGUUUUCAAAUACUUAAGUGGCAAUAUGCACUAAAAAAUAGAAUCUUUGAAAUACAAAAUUGAAGAAAUGAUGCACUGAAAGUUAUAAAAUUAUUUGUGAAUUAAAAAUACAUAAAACAAUGUAGUGAAUUAAUCUUUAAAUGUAACAUAUAUUUAUUCACUUAUUUAUUUCAUUGGUAUUCGUGCAGCACCUACUAUGUGCCAGAUGUUGUUCUGGGGGUACCACAAGAGAUUAAAAAGAAUAAGUCCAUGUGCUUUUGAGUUUGAAAUCUGUAGCAAGUGGAGGUAUCUGCUAUGAAGCUAAUGAAAGUAAAGUAAGGACAUAAACAGAAGCAAGGGGGAAAUAUCAUAGAUGUUGUGGCUGUGUGCAUUUGGUUGUGCCAGACCCACGUCACCUACACCCUCUUCCACAUCCCAAAGGUCAGAUACUGGGAACAUCUGCAGCUCUCUUGGAGUCUUUCUUUCCUGUGGGAGCACAGGGCAUCUUCCCAGGUGGAAGUCAAGGUCUUAGAGAGGUCAUGCCCCCAGAAGUGACGUUCACCCAAGGACAGGAAGGGAGAUGGAGAAUAAAGCUCUAGCUUGCUCCCCUGUGGGGAAGGGGAACUCUGAGGGGUGUGCUGGGCUUCAGCUCCCCCCUUGCUUGUUAGUACACCCUGUCUUGCCUUUCUCCUCUUUCCAUCUCUGCUACAGAAGCUUCCUGGGACCACCACCCACAUAAAACUACUUGCCUCUCUAAUCUUUGUCUGAGAGUCGGCUCCUGCAGAAUCCAGAAAGGAAGCCCUCUCUGAUGAGAGACUUGAGCCAAGUGAAUGAGUCAUACAGAUACCUGGGUGAUCCCAGG
rnacentral:lncRNA from 10 species